rnacentral:rRNA from 1 species
CGAGCGGUAGAGAGAAGCUUGCUUCUCUUGAGAGCGGCGGACGGGUGAGUAAUGCCUAGGAAUCUGCCUGGUAGUGGGGGAUAACGUUCGGAAACGAACGCUAAUACCGCAUACGUCCUACGGGAGAAAGCAGGGGACCUUCGGGCCUUGCGCUAUCAGAUGAGCCUAGGUCGGAUUAGCUAGUUGGUGAGGUAAUGGCUCACCAAGGCGACGAUCCGUAACUGGUCUGAGAGGAUGAUCAGUCACACUGGAACUGAGACACGGUCCAGACUCCUACGGGAGGCAGCAGUGGGGAAUAUUGGACAAUGGGCGAAAGCCUGAUCCAGCCAUGCCGCGUGUGUGAARAARGUCUUNYGGAUUGUAAAGCACUUUAAGUUGGGAGGAAGGGCAUUAACCUAAUACGUUAGUGUUUUGACGUUACCGACAGAAUAAGCACCGGCUAACUCUGUGCCAGCAGCCGCGGUAAUACAGAGGGUGCAAGCGUUAAUCGGAAUUACUGGGCGUAAAGCGCGCGUAGGUGGUUUGUUAAGUUGGAUGUGAAAUCCCCGGGCUCAACCUGGGAACUGCAUUCAAAACUGACUGACUAGAGUAUGGUAGAGGGUGGUGGAAUUUCCUGUGUAGCGGUGAAAUGCGUAGAUAUAGGAAGGAACACCAGUGGCGAAGGCGACCACCUGGACUAAUACUGACACUGAGGUGCGAAAGCGUGGGNGAGCAAACAGGAUUAGAUACCCUGGUAGUCCACGCCGUAAACGAUGUCAACUAGCCGUUGGAAGCCUUGAGCUUUUAGUGGCGCAGCUAACGCAUUAAGUUGACCGCCUGGGGAGUACGGCCGCAAGGUUAAAACUCAAAUGAAUUGACGGGGGCCCGCACAAGCGGUGGAGCAUGUGGUUUAAUUCGAAGCAACGCGAARAACCUUACCAGGCCUUGACAUCCAAUGAACUUUCUAGAGAUAGAUUGGUGCCUUCGGGAACAUUGAGACAGGUGCUGCAUGGCUGUCGUCAGCUCGUGUCGUGAGAUGUUGGGUUAAGUCCCGUAACGAGCGCAACCCUUGUCCUUAGUUACCAGCACGUAAUGGUGGGCACUCUAAGGAGACUGCCGGUGACAAACCGGAGGAAGGUGGGGAUGACGUCAAGUCAUCAUGGCCCUUACGGCCUGGGCUACACACGUGCUACAAUGGUCGGUACAGAGGGUUGCCAAGCCGCGAGGUGGAGCUAAUCCCAUAAAACCGAUCGUAGUCCGGAUCGCAGUCUGCAACUCGACUGCGUGAAGUCGGAAUCGCUAGUAAUCGCGAAUCAGAA